ACCCCACACAAAUAAGCCGACCUUCUCGACGUUCAUAAUCGGAAGCGUGUGCUCGUUGUGGGAACAGCAAAGUCUGCGCAUUGUGUAUAGUUGUUUUGUUUCCUAAACUCAACUAAAGAUUUCGCGCAGGACA